rnacentral:ncRNA from 2 species
AACAGCUUGACGGGGUGCCGGUGAUAUCCGGCUGAGAUGGCGCAGGGGGGGCUUUUGGCUACCGAGCGCUGGUCCCGCUGAACCUGAUCCGGCUAAUGCGCUGCUUUGAACGUGGCGCGGGUACCGGCGUAGGGAUCAAGCGAUGGCCUCGG